ensembl:lncRNA
UUUUUUUUUUUUUUAAGACGGAGUCUUCCUCUGUCACCCAGGCUGGAGUGCAGUGGUACCAUUUUAGGUCACAGCAACCUCCACUUCCUAGGUUCAAGCGAUCCUCCUGCCUCAGCCUCCCAAGUAGCUGGGACUACAGGCACACACCCGGCUAAUUUUUAUAUUUUUAGUAGAGAUGGAGUUUCACCAUGUCGGCCAGGCUGGUCUUGAACUCCUGACCUCAAGUGAUCCACCUCCCUUGGCCUCCCGAAGUGCUGAGAUUAUAGGCGUGAGCCACUGUGCCCAACCCAGAUGCCAUUUUAAAGGCUCCAUUAAACAUGUUUAAAUUGAUUGGCUCAAGUCAGUAUGAGUUCAGGGAAGCACCUUACAUAUCAAUAAUCAUAUUUGGCUGUACCUAACACAGCCAACCACAAUGGCUUAACCCAGUAGAGGUCUGUUCUUCCCAUGGAACAGCAAGUCUGCAAUGACUUCAAGAUCAAAGCUCCUUCUGCCUUUUGGAAGGCAGCAAGUGUAGUCCGCAUUCCAACCCAGAAGAGAGAAACAUGAGGGAUGAAAAGAACAUGGCCGCUUUACCAGAAAAACGACAGUGUUUCUAGAAGACCCACCCAUAGAUGUCUGCUUACAAAACAUUGGCCAGGACUUAGUUUUUUGGCCACCUCAGCUCCAAAAGACCCUAGGAAAUCAAGUUUUUAGCCAGGUCCUCUGCUAUCCCUAACGAAAUCAGGGUUCUGCUAGCCAGGAAGUGGGGGGAUGGACAGGGUUGUCUGCCACAGGCCACAAACACUGCAGCAUCCAUGCAACCAGUGAAGAGAAGAUGACUGAUGUGUUUUGGAAAGCACAGUAUGAAAAGUAACGAAAGAACACAACAGAGCAAGGCCAAAUAUGUCCCAGACAAUAAGGUCAUGCUGACCUUUUGAGAAGAAGAGGAUGUUCAGACAGGACGUGGUACUGCGAGGGAAACACAAAAAUAUCAAAGUGUUAUUUUACAAUCCUGCAGAGGUGGCUAUUUCCACUAAGUAUGGCACACAGAUUUCCCUUAGAGGGUACUCUUGCCAGGAUUUCACAUGCCACUUCAUUUCACCCUCAAACAGUCCUAUGACUCUUGGCCCUGUCCUCAAGAGUCAUGGACACUUCCCCUCCCUCUGUCAUGCCACCCCAUCUAAUGGCCAUCAAUUAGUGAUUGCACUGCAACCUGUUUAGCAUUACAACCUGUCUCCUGGGCCUGGCCAUGAGGAGCCCCAGCCCACCUCCUUCAGACCGUUGAACAAGCUCUUUCCUCUUCACCAAGCCUUAUCAAUAAUGUCCAACUUGUCUUCUGCAACGAACACCUUCUACUGAGGGGAGGGAGAAAAAAGAUGAAUUUUAUACUGAAGUGUUUAAUAAUUUCAUUAUGAGGAGUACAAAUUUGCACUGGCAAAUUUAAAUACAAUGUGUACUCUGUGUGUGUGUGUGUGUACUCGCGUGUGUGCAUUUCUUCAGACAUGAUAAACUGUGAUCCCUUUCCUAUGAAUAAAGAGACCUUGGGCUGAGCCUGAAUGAGCCUGAGAAAAGAUCUGUCCCAGUAUGAAUUCAUGGGUACCAUCCUCUCAGAAAGCAGUUCCAUACUGUGCCAGACACUUUGAGCCAAUCUAGAGAGGAGAGACGGUGGUAACUGAUGGAGACCCCCAAAUCAUAAGCUGCAUAGGCUGCGAACACAGUGAGCCGGGGGCAAAGAAGCUAAAGCCUCCCAGGGCCUGUCUGUGGUCACCUGGAAAAGGAAACAGGAAGGGGACUGAUGAGAAAGACUGAAAACCAGGGUUGUUUGCACGUCCUCCCGUCUUUUUAGUUUUCAUUUGAAUCACAACAUUAAGACUUCUGCUCGGCACACCAGACAUCUAUCCGAAAUAUAGCUUAGAACUCAAGGACAGUU